rnacentral:tRNA from 1 species
AGGCGAGUAGCUCAGUGGUUAGAGCGGGAUCCUUAUAAGGUCCGGGUCGAGGGUUCGAUUCCCUCCUCGCCUACCA